rnacentral:rRNA from 1 species
UAGGGAAUCUUCCACAAUGGACGCAAGUCUGAUGGAGCAACGCCGCGUGAGUGAAGAAGGGUUUCGGCUCGUAAACUCUGUUGUUAAAGAAGACAUAUCUGAGAGUAACUGUUCAGGUNUUGACGGUAUUUAACCAGAAAGCCACGGCUAACUACGUGCCA